rnacentral:rRNA from 1 species
UACGGAGGGUGCAAGCGUUAUCCGGAUUCACUGGGUUUAAAGGGUGCGUAGGUGGGAAAGUAAGUCAGUGGUGAAAUCUCCGUGCUUAACACGGAAACUGCCAUUGAUACUAUUUUUCUUGAAUUUUCUGGAGGUCAGCGGAAUAUGUCAUGUAGCGGUGAAAUGCUUAGAUAUGACAUAGAACACCAAUGGCGAAGGCGGCUCACUGGACCGGAACUGACGCUGAGGCGCGAAAGCGUGGGGAGCAAACGGG